CGGGGUGUGGCCCAAUGGUAAGGCGCUUGGUUUGGGACCAAGAUUUCGGGGGUUCGAUUCCCUUCACUCCGACCA
rnacentral:tRNA from 1 species